rnacentral:rRNA from 1 species
UACGGGGGGGGCAAGCGUUGUUCGGAAUUACUGGGCGUAAAGGGCUCGUAGGCGGCCAACUAAGUCAGACGUGAAAUCCCUCGGCUUAACCGGGGAACUGCAUCUGAUACUGGAUGGCUUGAGAUUGGGAGAGGGAUGCGGAAUUCCCGGUGUAGCGGUGAAAUGCGUAGAGAUCGGGAGGAACAUCAGUGGCGAAGGCGGCCAUCUGGAUCAACACUGACGCUGAGGCACGAAAGCGUGGGGAGCAAACAGG